rnacentral:rRNA from 1 species
UACGUAGGUGGCGAGCGUUGUCCGGAAUUACUGGGUGUAAAGCGCGUGUAGGCGGGAGGCCAAGUCUGUGGUGAAAUCGCUCGGCUUAACUGGGCGGGGUCCAUGGAAACUGGUCACCUGGAGGUCGGUAGAGGCAAGUGGAAUUCCCGGUGUAGUGGUGAAAUGCGUAGAUAUCGGGGAGGAACACCAGUGGCGAAGGGCGGCU